rnacentral:lncRNA from 1 species
CUCCAGUAACCACUCCCUUAUCUUUUUCAGAAUUUGAAUUUAAAUUAGGCCCGUGAUAAGCGGCAUAAUCUUGAUCAGUUUCCAUAGCUGAACCACUACUACCUUCUGAUCGGAAAGACCUCCCCGGCGUACGAAGCCACCGUGAGCUCUUGUUCACCAUUCCCCCUCUGCGAGGUUUAGCACGGAUGUCCAGAGAAUAGUUGCGAGGGGC